GCAACCGGACGGGAGCACGCUUAGUUGAUGCGACUGACGGAUGUUUGUUCGGGCGUCACGAGGAAGAUAUGAGGGAGCAUGCGCACACGACAAUGUUACUGAGCGUUGCUACACUUCACGCCACGAACGAGUUUAUCAGUGAGCGACAGAUCAAUUGAUUAGCAUAGCACAUAACAUAUUGGCGGGAAAUAACUGGUACUGUAUUAUCUUAUCUACCUAGAAUCAUCAUACUGGAGUACUAGCGCACAGACUAGAGACGGAGAAAGCAUGUCCAUGACAUUCACGCGACAGAUUUUUAUCGAACGGUUAACAGUCUCGCUGGCCUUGUCCGCUUAGAAGAAGGCCAUCCCGACGGCGAAGGAGGCGGCGAGGGCGACGAGGGCGCCGGCGGCGUGGAAGCGGCGCGCCGCGUGGCUGGGCUUGGGCGACUCCGGCGGCGAGGCGAACGGCGAAGGACCUGCGACGGAGAUGGCACGUACAGUAUAUAUUAGUUGUACACAACUACUAUACCACUACAGUACUCGGCUCCAUGGCACUAGAACGUGAUGACAAGCACGUGAACUGAAACUGUGUGUCUGUACUUCUGUACCUACGAGCAUACAUAUGGCCACUGGAUGUUUUAGCAUUACUUCUGUUUUUCGCUUCUUUUUUAUUUAUAUAUUUAACUAAUACUACUACCUAGUACCAUCAAUUUCUUGUAUUAAUCCUUCCUCUUGGUCUUUGACUCUUGGGCAGCCAGAAAGAAUUAUUAAACUGAACCCGCAACUGAAAUUCUGCUACUGCAUGCGGCGGCGCUUACCAGCGGGGUACUGUGGGCUGCCGCCGGGCGACAUGGGCGAGGGAGAUCCCGGCGCGGGCGCCGGAGACGGGCCCAGACGAACGUUGUAUCCC
rnacentral:lncRNA from 1 species